rnacentral:rRNA from 1 species
UAAGGAGGGUGCAAGCGUUGUUCGGAAUUACUGGGCGUAAAGAGCGUGUAGGCGGCUGACCAAGUCCGGUGUGAACGCCCGGGGCUUACCCCCGGAAGAGCGCUGGAAACUGGUCGACUAGAGUAUGGGAGAGGGAAGUGGAAUUCCUGGUGUAGCGGUGAAAUGCGUAGAUAUCAGGAGGAACACCGGCGGCGAAGGCGGCUUCCUGGACCAAUACGGACGCUGAGAUGCGAAAGCGUGGGGAGCAAACAGG